rnacentral:rRNA from 1 species
UACGUAGGGUGCAAGCGUUGUCCGGAAUUAUUGGGCGUAAAGGGCUCGUAGGCGGUUUGUCGCGUCUGCUGUGAAAACUCGGGGCUCAACUCCGAGCUUGCAGUGGGUACGGGCAGACUAGAGUGCGGUAGGGGAGACUGGAAUUCCUGGUGUAGCGGUGGAAUGCGCAGAUAUCAGGAGGAACACCGGUGGCGAAGGCGGGUCUCUGGGCCGUAACUGACGCUGAGGAGCGAAAGCAUGGGGAGCGAACAGG